GAUGAACGCGGGCGGCGUGCCUAAUACAUGCAAGUAGAACGCUGAAGGAAGGAGCUUGCUCUUUCCGGAUGAGUUGCGAACGGGUGAGUAACGCGUAGGUAACCUGCCUGGUAGCGGGGGAUAACUAUAGGAAACGAUAGCUAAUACCGCAUAACAGUAGAUGUUGCAUGACAUCUGCUUGAAAGGGGCAAUUGCUCCACUACCAGAUGGACCUGCGUUGUAUUAGCUAGUUGGUGAGGUAACGGCUCACCAAGGCGACGAUACAUAGCCGACCUGAGAGGGUGAUCGGCCACACUGGGACUGAGACACGGCCCAGACUCCUACGGGAGGCAGCAGUAGGGAAUCUUCGGCAAUGGACGGAAGUCUGACCGAGCAACGCCGCGUGAGUGAAGAAGGUUUUCGGAUCGUAAAGCUCUGUUGUAAGAGAAGAACGAGUGUGAGAGUGGAAAGUUCACACUGUGACGGUAUCUUACCAGAAAGGGACGGCUAACUACGUGCCAGCAGCCGCGGUAAUACGUAGGUCCCGAGCGUUAUCCGGAUUUAUUGGGCGUAAAGCGAGCGCAGGCGGUUAGAUAAGUCUGAAGUUAAAGGCUGUGGCUUAACCAUAGUACGCUUUGGAAACUGUUUAACUCGAGUGCAGAAGGGGAGAGUGGAAUUCCAUGUGUAGCGGUGAAAUGCGUAGAUAUAUGGAGGAACACCGGUGGCGAAAGCGGCUCUCUGGUCUGUAACUGACGCUGAGGCUCGAAAGCGUGGGGAGCAAACAGG
rnacentral:rRNA from 1 species